AAAACUUUUUGUUUAUGUUGUUUUCUUCUAAAUACAAGAACAGGCAUAGAAUUGUCGUAUUUUGGUUGUCAUACAUUGUGACCCAUCAGCUAUGGGAUGGGGGCCUGCAGGUGUUGGGGGGAUGGAAGGCUUUGUAGGCGACUAGAUUGGGGGAGGGCCAUUUUUUUCAAUCAUAUUAUUCAGUCUAACCUUUUCCCCUCUAACCUUACUCCCUUUUCUGCACUAACACUUGUCUUUGUCUUCACUCAUGACAACACCCCACUGUUUCCGCCUGUGUGACACGGCUGUCGGUUCUCCUAACCUCUGCACUGGCCCUCCUGUCGGCCAGAUGCCUGAUCCUCUCCCGUCUCUGGAGCGUGCAGGCAGGUCUGCACAGGUUGGGUCUGGUGUUGUUUUGUCUCCCUGAGGUUUCACACAUUCCAGAUGUUAUCAGCAGGCUCCAGUUAGCUUAGAUGAUAGCUAUCUAGACAGGUCAGUCAAUCACUUGACAAGGAAGGAUGCUGCCCUAUGAGUCAGGCCUCAUGCCCACAGAUGAUAAAAGGCCUGGGCCUGGUGUGGCCUCGUCAUACGGUUAUCUCCCAUGCUCUCAUGUCAGAUAUAUUAUCUGUACGGCUCGAAGACUCACCACUCACACCGCCCUUCAAAUCGAUUCAUCAAGUUAAUUGUUGAGUGUUUAAAUCUUUGCUUCAUUUGCCUAAUUAUUUCAUUUGUUUUUCUUUUUUUCCUUCUCUUAUAAUCUACAAAGCUAUGAAUAAUUAUUAAAUGAAAAAUUAAGGAAUCAGAAAAAUGUUCUGGGUGGCAGAUUGGAAUUUUAUUAGGACUGGCAUAAUGAAUCUUUUUCAAGUCUCUGAUGAGCCUUGAUUUGUAUAAAUGAAUAAGAUAUUGUUCGGUUUUCAGUUUGAAGAGUGUUAAAUUUAUGCUUCAUAAAAUUCACAGCAUGAAACCGAAAUUAGUCAUGGUUAACAUUUCCCCCUUAUUUAACGCUGCCAUUUCCAUUUCCCAGGCCUGUCUUUGCAGCCAUCCUUUAAUCGAGUAACUAGUGGACAGCUCUCUGUUCGCUGCCUGUUUAUUUUUGUGUCUGAACGUGCCUGAGUGUAUCCACCUCUAAUCCAGCCAUGGGUAGCCUCUGUCCCCCGCAGGCUCGGUGUCAGCAGUUUGACUUUGAUGUCAAGCCACAAUUUAUUUGACGGUCUCUGUGGACUCCUGCGUUGUCCACAUAAUGUCUGGCAAUCAAUAAUAAUGUGACCUACCUAGCUAGACCCUUCCUACCCACUGCUUUAGUUAUUCACCCCCUGGCUUGCAAUAUUCCAGUCUCUGGCCUGCCCCUGCCCCCUGAAUAAAAAAAAGUUAAAAAAAAGUCUCAGUGAAUCCCAGUUUUACCAAUAAUGCCUGUCUAGCUAUGACAGUGACCUCUAUGUCUGUUACUAUGGUUACUUAUAGCCCGCCUAGAGCAAAAGUAAAUCAUUGUUUUUUUUUAAAUCAUGUUAUUUUUCUUACAAAUAUAAAUCAAGAUGAGACAGAGAUUAAAAAAGUGCGUGUAAAGGAGAGCAUCUACACUUUUUCCUGAAAACGUGACAUCCACUGAUUGGGCCCUCUCCAUCGAUCAUGACGCACAGGCACACACUCACCCUUCUUCUUCCCUCCCUCUCUCACCAAAUUGAGUUCCUUCCAAAAAUGAAAGGCAGGCAGGAGCUGACACACUCUGGCUGCCGAACACUGGCACCAACCCAUAACCACCAGAGGCAAUGUGGAGUACAGUGUCUUCUAUACAUACAUAGGCAGGCAAGGUGGGAAUCGAACCGGCGAUCUUCUGGUCAGAGGUCAAGCCCCCUACCUCUGCACUAUGGCUGUCCCAUAUUUCUUUAUUAAAUUCAUUUGAA